rnacentral:rRNA from 1 species
UACGGGGGGGGCAAGCGUUGUUCGGAAUUACUGGGCGUAAAGGGCUCGUAGGUGGCCAACUAAGUCAGACGUGAAAUCCCUCGGCUUAACCGGGGAACUGCAUCUGAUACUGGAUGGCUUGAGUUUGGGAGAGGGACGCGGAAUUCCAGGUGUAGCGGUGAAAUGCGUAGAUAUCGGGAGGAACACCUGUGGCGAAAGCGGCGCACUGGACCAUAACUGACGCUGAUGCGCGAAAGCUAGGGGAGCAAACAGG